rnacentral:rRNA from 1 species
AAUAGAUACCCAGGUAGUCCACGCCGUAAACGAUGAGUGCUAAGUGUUAGAGGGUUUCCGCCCUUUAGUGCUGCAGCUAACGCAUUAAGCACUCCGCCUGGGGAGUACGGUCGCAAGACUGAAACUCAAAGGAAUUGACGGGGGCCCGCACAAGCGGUGGAGCAUGUGGUUUAAUUCGAAGCAACGCGAAGAACCUUACCAGGUCUUGACAUCCCGCUGACCGCUAUGGAGACAUAGCUUUCCCUUCGGGGACAGCGGUGACAGGUGGUGCAUGGUUGUCGUCAGCUCGUGUCGUGAGAUGUUGGGUUAAGUCCCGCAACGAGCGCAACCCUUGUCCUUAGUUGCCAUCAUUCAGUUGGGCACUCUAAGGAGACUGCCGUACAAAUACGGAGGAAGGUGGGGAUGACGUCAAAUCAUCAUGCCCCUUAUGACCUGGGCUACACACGUGCUACAAUGGACGGUACAAACGGUUGCGAAGUCGCGAGACGGAGCCAAUCCGAGAAAGCCGUUCUCAGUUCGGAUUGCAGG